GGGGGCGUUUUUGGAUUCGACGGGGAUUGUUCGAGCAUUCGUAGCGAGCCGAGGGGCUGCGGACUCGUAAAAAACGCGGAAGCCAAGAAUAACUGGCAACAAUAAUCGUUUAGCUUUAGCUGCCUAAUCGCGGCUAACCUCUGCCACGCCAUCGCCCAUGUGGCGUGAUCAGGGGCCACUCGAGUGGGAUACGCAGUUUCCCUUCCGCCUGUAGGGAGCUGAAGAGAACAACCAGGCUAGCCUGAAGCAGAUCCGGUUACGGGGAGCUGUGAGGGCGAAUCCCAAAACCGUAACUGCGCUCGGAGAAACGGAUGUGACGAGAUCUUCGGACAGGGGUUCGACUCCCCUCGCCUCCACCA
rfam:Clostridium ultunense Esp genomic scaffold, CTLT_3033